GGGCUGGCCGGCAGUCUUCUUCCACUGCACCGGGGAGACGUUCUUGCCCCUCCCGACUCCUGAGAGCCGCUAGGCCGAAUCUCCAGGAAGGCAAUUCGGAGGCCAGUGCCAUUGUAGAUGUAACUAAUUAAAAUGAGGACACGCUGGACUGGGGCAGGGACUAAUCCAACAUGACUGCUGUUCUUAUGAGAAGAUGGCCCUGUGAAUGCCAUGUGAAGAUGGAAGUGGAGAUUGGAAUGAUGCAUCUACAAGCCCAGGAAGACCAAGUGUUGCCAGCAGUCACUAGAAACUAGGAGAGAGGCAUGGGCCAGAGUCCCCUCAGAGCCCUUUGAAGGAACCAGCCCAGAUAACAUCUUGAUUUUGGGCUUCCAGCCUCCUGAACUGGAGAGAAUAAAUGUCUGUUGCUUUAAGCCA